GCUGGGUGUGGUGGCUCAUGCCUGUAGUCCCAGCUACUUGGGAGGCUGAGGCCAGAGGAUCUCUUGAGUACAGGAGUUCUGGGCUGUAGUGCCCUAUGCCAAUCGGUUGUCCGCACUAAGUUCAGCAUGAAUAUGGUGACCUCCCAGGAGCGGGGGACCACCAGGUUGCCUAAGGAGGGGUGAACGGCCCAGGUCAGAAACAGAGCAGGUCAGAACUCCCGUGCUGAUGAGUAGUGGAAUCGCGCCUGUGAAUAGCCACUGCACUCCAGCCUGGGCAACAUAGUGAGGCCCUGUCUCUA
rnacentral:SRP_RNA from 1 species